UCUCGCGCGUAGAUCUCAGGACUCCCCUCUUCUCCCCUCUUUUAACCUCUUCUCAUCCUCUUCUUUCAAAUCAACACUCGAACCCCAGCACUUGCUCCUCUCAGCCGACCACCACAUCUCCCCUCCCCCACCUCCGGUUGCCCGACAUCACCUCUCCCGCCUCCACUUCUCUUGUUUUCCGGUUUCUAAACUGACGCUGUUCAGUUAUCGUAUCCUAAAAACUGGUGGCUGUCGGAGCUAUUCCGUUCAAAGUUUCGUCGAUUCCGUUAUUGAAUAGUUUGAAGCGUUACGCCGCCGGAGAAUUCGCCGCCAGUAACAACCCUUCCACAGCAGAAGCAUAAACCAGAUAGUUUUAAAGAGGGCUUUUACGAAUUUCAGGUCAACAAUUUCAUUUCUACCCUUGUUGCAGUUCAAAUUCAGUUCAAAUGGAGGCUCUCUACUCCAAGCUGUAUGAUAAGUACACCAAGCUCAAGGUAAAGAAAGCUUCUGAGAUAGAGCAGCUAAGUUUGGAUCAAGAAGAAAAGUUUAAGACCUACGUCUCUGCCGCAGAUGAACUAAUUGGUUAUUUAACAAACGAAAAGGACAUGCUACACGCACAAUUAGGUGAAUUGAGACAGGAAAUUGCUUCAAUCAGAUCUGCCAAAGAUGAAGAGCAACAACAGUAUGAAAAGAUGCUAUUAGAAGCGAACGAGAAAAACAAACAACUCUCGGAAGAAAUAGAGAGGCUGCAAAGAAAAGAACUUGAUUCCAGCGAUAUACGAUCACCUCGAUCUCCACUUUCAAACAGCAACUCAACAAAGAGAAAGCGAAUCACGAUUCACGAAAAUGAAAAUGAAGUUGUUGAUAAAGAUAACCUCAUCUCUGGCGUUUUUUAUAAUGAUGCUACCCAGGCUAAAUGCUGUCGUCCAAGGCUUGGCGGCACAGGAGAUGCUGCCUCUAGCAACUGCUGCAUGUUUCAAGAGCUUGUUGAAUGCCUAGUCGAUCUCAAGUUUUCAGUUGGAACUUCGAGUGAUGAUACUAUACAAAUAACUGCAGUGCAUGAAUCAAGUGUCAAAUAUAGAUGGAAGUAUGGAACGACCCUGUCUUCUUUAGUUCAAAAAAAGAAAAAAAGAAACCCUAACUCUCUCAAGUUCAGCCGACAUCAUACAUUCAUCCAGAUCCAGCGUGCCGGUCAUCCACCGCCGCUCAUCCGCCGCCUGCAUCCACCGUCAGUCAUCCACCGCCGCUCCACCACGCCUGCAUCCACGCCGGUCAUCCACCACGCCUGCAUCCACCGUCAGUCAUCCACCGCCGCUCAUCCACCGUCAGUCAUCCGCCGCAAUUUAAAGGUUCUAAUGAAGUUAAUUUGGAUGAGCUCACUGAAGAUAUAAUGUCACUUGAUAUUAGUGGAGAAUCAAAUGCUUCAAACUCAAUGAACACUUCUAAGGUAACCACUCCAAAUGCUUCGAGUAGUGUUGCUAAAAAACAAUGAACAAUCUAAGGUUUGAAUUGUUGGAAUUAAAGAUCUAAGAGGAGAACCAUGGCAACUUGGAAACUUUGAACUUGUUUUUAAUGGAUAUAUUGAAUUAUUUAAGUCUUUUGUGAUUUGCCGUUUAUGGAUUUUUGUUUUAAACUUGUUAAGUAUUCAGUAUUUUGUGGAUUAUUUAAGCUGUUUGUGAACUUUUGGCGA